UGACAACUCCCUCCGUUCGGAAUUACUUGUCUCGGAAAUGGAUGUAUUUAGAACUAAAAUACGUCUAGAUACAUCCAUUUUUGCGACAAGAAAUUCCGAACGGAGGGAGUACUAC
rfam:Triticum aestivum genome assembly, contig: Triticum_aestivum_CS42_TGACv1_scaffold_423384_5BS